GGAAGGAGGUAUUCAGGUGUGACAGGCGGGGUGGGGCAAGAAGAGGGGAGGGUUGGGAAGGAUUGGGAUGAAAGCUCCUAGGCAUUAGGCUCACGGGGGAUCACCAGGGCUUUGCCUGGGCGUAGAGCUCAAUUCAAGAUUCAGUAUCACAGAGAUUAGGAGAAUAGGAGGUGGGGUAGGCGGAAUCGUUUCGAACCACCUGAUGCCAGGCCGUUUCAUGCCAACCCAGGUUCUGAGGACCAUUCUGGAUUAUUCCGGGCUAUUCCGGGUUAACGCCCAAUGAAGAACAAAUUCAGUCAGAACCACGUGGUCCUGGAGAGGUCUGUGGUUGGUCCUCGCUGGAGCGUGCUGUGACGCAAUGACAUCAGCAGGACCCUUGCUUGUAGUUCCGAUGACAUCAGUGAGUGCGCCUCCACAGCCAAGGCCAUGAUGACAUCAGUCUGCGCCAGAAGACUGCGGUGGUGGUAAUGAUGCAAUGAGAGCCAGGUUGCAAGGGCGGCGCUAAGAGACCUUAAGAGCUGGUGGCUGGUUAACCUCCUGGAUCCAGGCCAGAAGAGGCUCUUCUUCUGCAGUAAAUGGAACAAUAGACUGUAGAGGAGAGGGGCAUCAGGACAGAAGGUUCCUCACACUGUUGUGCCUGGGGACCCUCAUCCCCACCACAGCCAGGUGGGAGGAAGGAAUGUCGGGAACCCUUAGUAGGCCGCUGCCGUCAGGGCCACCCCAGGCUCUGGCGUACCUCUCAGCUGGGAGAAACCAAGAAAUGAAGUGAUCUUAAUGCAAAUGGCCCAGUAGACAGCUCUACCCACCCUGAGGAAGGGCUUUUCUGGAGCCCAAGGCAGAGGCCCCCUCCUGGAAACCAGGGCCAGCCUCGGAGCAACGGCCAGGCCGUCAGGCAGAUUUUUAAGUAAAAGCUGCUUCCUACAUCCGAAAUGUUCUUCCAUCUUUCCACUUCAAAUUUCUGGUUUUCUUCAUGAGUUCAGGUCAGGUGUUAUUUUAUACAUCCAGCCUCUAAAUGACUUUACAGAGAUUUUAUUUUUGCUUAUCUGUGCAUAUAUAUUUUCCCUAACAAAAUGUAGAGUCCUUUAGAACAGAACCUGUUUUCAUUUUUUCUUUGUCUCUUUCAAAGGCUUUCAGGAAACACUUAGGGUAUCCGAUUUGAAUGGAAUCAAAAUGAAUGGAGCCAAAUUGAAUUUACACUGGGCUU
rnacentral:lncRNA from 1 species